rnacentral:rRNA from 1 species
GACGAGCGCUGGCGGCGUGCUUAACACAUGCAAGUCGAACGAUGAAGCGGUGCUUGCACCGUGGAUUAGUGGCGAACGGGUGAGUAAUACGUGAGUGACCUACCUUUGACUCUGGGAUAAGCCUGGGAAACUGGGUCUAAUACCGGAUACGACCAAUCUCUGCAUGGGGUGUUGGUGGAAAGCGUUAUGGAGUGGUUUUAGAUGGGCUCACGGCCUAUCAGCUUGUUGGUGAGGUAAUGGCUUACCAAGGCGACGACGGGUAGCCGGCCUGAGAGGGUGACCGGCCACACUGGGACUGAGACACGGCCCAGACUCCUACGGGAGGCAGCAGUGGGGAAUAUUGCACAAUGGGCGCAAGCCUGAUGCAGCGACGCCGCGUGAGGGAUGACGGCCUUCGGGUUGUAAACCUCUGUUAGCAUCGAAGAAGCGAAAGUGACGGUAGGUGCAGAGAAAGCGCCGGCUAACUACGUG